UCCUGAUUAGUGGCGAACGGGUGAGUAAUACGUGAGCAAUGUGCCCUUGACUCUGGGAUAAGCGCUGGAAACGGCGUCUAAUACCGGAUACGACGACCGGAGGCAUCUCCUGGUCGUGGAAAGAACUUCGGUCAAGGAUCAGCUCACGGCCUAUCAGUUAGUUGGUGAGGUAAUGGCUCACCAAGACGACGACGGGUAGCCGGCCUGAGAGGGUGACCGGCCACACUGGGACUGAGACACGGCCCAGACUCCUACGGGAGGCAGCAGUGGGGAAUAUUGCACAAUGGGCGCAAGCCUGAUGCAGCAACGCCGCGUGAGGGACGAAGGCCUUCGGGUUGUAAACCUCUUUUAGCAGGGAAGAAGCGAAAGUGACGGUACCUGCAGAAAAAGCACCGGCUAACUACGUGCCAGCAGCCGCGGUAAUACGUAGGGUGCAAGCGUUGUCCGGAAUUAUUGGGCGUAAAGAGCUCGUAGGCGGUUUGUCACGUCUGCUGUGAAAACCCGAGGCUCAACCUCGGGCUUGCAGUGGGUACGGGCAGACUAGAGUGCGGUAGGGGAGAUUGGAAUUCCUGGUGUAGCGGUGGAAUGCGCAGAUAUCAGGAGGAACACCGAUGGCGAAGGCAGAUCUCUGGGCCGUAACUGACGCUGAGGAGCGAAAGCAUGGGGAGCAAACAGGCUUAGAUACCCUGGUAGUCCAUGCCGUAAACGUUGGGAACUAGA
rnacentral:rRNA from 1 species